UGACUCCGUAGCUCAGUUGGUAGAGCACAUCACUUUUAAUGAUGGGGUCCUGGGUUCGAGCCCCAGCGGGUCAC
rnacentral:tRNA from 1 species